CACGCUGUUUACAUUACUCUGGUAUUCAAAACGGCAGGUAGGCAUUGCUGUGUGGGAAGUUGAUCACGCAAGAUCUGAAGUUGAAUUUCGAAUCUUAUAUCUGUUGGAUUUGCGGAUUUUAUAUCAGGAAGUUUAGCUGCUCAAAAUCCCAACAAUCGACAUAUACGGGUAUGCAUAUGCCGUCCACAGCACAAUUGAGUUCUGCAGACGUGAGCACAUCUCAGAUGGAGAGGAAUAAUGACAACGACGGCGCGUCGCUUCACAGCAAUCUAGCAAACUUUGUGCUCGACCUACAGACGGAUGUACGACUCGAAGAUCUACUCGAUAAUAACGAAAAUAAAAGUGUCAACGGCGUGCAAGCGACUCAAAACAUUCCUGCAGAGCGAAAAGAGGUUCAUAUUAAACAUUUAAGACAUCUCUAUCACGCGAUUAAGAGCCAACAGAAAGGUGUCAUUAAUGGACACGAACAGCCGAGCAAGCGAGGACAGGCCGAUAAUUCCACGGCGUUCUCUCGAAAUAAGACGAUGAGGAACUCGGAGUUUUUACUUCACGAUACUGACUGUUUGGACGAGACGUGGCUAAUGAGUUUCGCCUCGCAGCUCGGACUUGACAAGAAAGUGGAUCUCCCGGAACUCAAUUCCGAUCUGAUGCAAGAGUUCCUCUAGAAUAGAAGACACCAAACGUGUUACAAGGCUUCACAACAAGCGUUUUGCAACAUUUCGGUGAAUGGGAGCAAAUAUUGAUUCAAAACACACCGAGUAUGAUAAUCUGCUACGGCUAAGCAAUGAUUGAUAUAUUAAAUAAAAUCAUAUUAUAUAGGUGGUUUUUAUAAAUCCCAGCGAAUGGAUCUUAUAGGAAGCUUCGUCCUGUUCAAAAAUUGUCCAGAAACGACACCCUUUCACAGAGUAGAUCUCUUUAACCCGAAACAGCUUUGGAACUCGAUAGAUUGAUUCAUUUAUGUGUGUAAUCAUGACUAAAUUUUAGAUUGAAGUGUCUGUUUGGCUGACCUGGCUUUUAAUAUGACAACAACAUAUGUAAUGGGGGAACCUAAUCAUAGCAGAACAUCUUUCGUUUGGACUAGCUUGAAGUGUAUAUAUAUUAUAAAUACAUGAGUCUAAAUUCAGCAUAAUGUAUUAAACUCAGUAAAUAUAUUUAGCACAAAUA